UGGGCGCAAGCCUGAUGCAGCCAUGGCCGCGUGUAUGAACAAGGCCUUCGGGUUGUAAAGUACUUUCAGCAGUGAGGAAGGUGGGUAUGUUAAUAGCAUAUUCAUUUGACGUUAGCUGCAGAAUAAGCACCGGCUAACUCUGUGCCAGCAGCCGCGGUAAUACAGAGGGUGCAAGCGUUAAUCGGAAGUUACUGGGCGUAAAGCGCAUGUAAGGUGGUUGCAUAAGUUUGAUGUGAAAGCCCCGGGCUUAACCUGGGAAAUGGCGUUGAAGAACUGUGUGACUAGAGUCGGACAGAGGGUCGUGGAAUUUCCGGUGUAGCGGUGAAAUGCGUAGAGAUCGGAAAGAACACCAGUGGCGAAGGCGGCGACCUGGGUCCAGACUGACACUGAGUGCGAAAGCAAUGGGAGCAAACAGGAUUAGAUACCCUCGGUAG
rnacentral:rRNA from 1 species